rnacentral:rRNA from 1 species
UGCAAGUCGAGCGGUAGAGAGGUGCUUGCACCUCUUGAGAGCGGCGGACGGGUGAGUAAUACCUAGGAAUCUGCCUGGUAGUGGGGGAUAACGUUCGGAAACGGACGCUAAUACCGCAUACGUCCUACGGGAGAAAGCAGGGGACCUUCGGGCCUUGCGCUAUCAGAUGAGCCUAGGUCGGAUUAGCUAGUUGGUGAGGUAAUGGCUCACCAAGGCUACGAUCCGUAACUGGUCUGAGAGGAUGAUCAGUCACACUGGAACUGAGACACGGUCCAGACUCCUACGGGAGGCAGCAGUGGGGAAUAUUGGACAAUGGGCGAAAGCCUGAUCCAGCCAUGCCGCGUGUGUGAAGAAGGUCUUCGGAUUGUAAAGCACUUUAAGUUGGGAGGAAGGGCAUUAACCUAAUACGUUAGUGUUUUGACGUUACCGACAGAAUAAGCACCGGCUAACUCUGUGCCAGCAGCCGCGGUAAUACAGAGGGUGCAAGCGUUAAUCGGAAUUACUGGGCGUAAAGCGCGCGUAGGUGGUUUGUUAAGUUGAAUGUGAAAUCCCCGGGCUCAACCUGGGAACUGCAUCCAAAACUGGCAAGCUAGAGUAUGGUAGAGGGUAGUGGAAUUUCCUGUGUAGCGGUGAAAUGCGUAGAUAUAGGAAGGAACACCAGUGGCGAAGGCGACUACCUGGACUGAUACUGACACUGAGGUGCGAAAGCGUGGGGAGCAAACAGGAUUAGAUACCCUGGUAGUCCACGCCGUAAACGAUGUCAACUAGCCGUUGGGGAGUCUUGAACUCUUAGUGGCGCAGCUAACGCAUUAAGUUGACCGCCU